GAGCAGUGACUGGUCAGACCAUAGAAGACAGCACGCUAGCGUAUCUAGUCUAUGUAUAUCUAUGGUCGGCACACCUGGUAGCGUCUCUGGCUGCUGUUGAUCUUGUUUUUGGAGUAAAACACGGUGGAAGCUGAAUUAGUGAGGAUGACUCCUGCUCCUGUCAUCUCUAAGCUCCUCACACAUCUUUACCUGCACAUGAGGAAAAUCACUCCUGUAGAAUGCAGUGGUUCAUCAGAACCUCUGGGGAUGUCCUGUGGAUUCUGUGGGUCCUGUGGGUUGCAGGGUGGGUCCUACCUAGACCAGGCUGAUCCUGGACCAUCCCACAGAUGCUCCAUCAGAUCUGGAUGUGGGGAGUGUGGAACCCAGAUGUUCAGAGGGAGAUGAUGCCACAUCUGGUCCAGCUGAUGGAAGGUCUUGAAGUUCUCUGACUGGCCUCGACUGAAGAUGGUCGUCUCACUGGAUUUAAGGUUCAGAUGCUCAGUAACAAACUCCACCAAUGUGCCAUCAGAUGCACAAUGAGGGACGUCUGCAGAGACUGAGAAAGAGUCUCACCACAUCCUGACAUGAGGAAAAAGACUUUAUUGAAGACUACAAUGAGAAAAACUAUCAGACAGCAGACGGCUGCAUUCAAGGUGAGCUCUGAACAUUUGAUCUGGAACAGGAAUUCAAUAACGGCAGCAUGAGCUUCAUUUCAGUCUGUAGCUGCUGAAUUCAUGGAUGAAUCAUCUGGCACUAGAGAGGAAGACCAUCAAACAUCCACGUCAGCUGAUGGAGGUCCAAGAGUCUCACCAAACAACCUACAGAGUGAAGACCUCAAAUCUGAUUGGACGGCCUCCUAUUCAGCCACGUGUGAACAAAUGCCUCUAAGUUGAUUUGUUUUCUAAAAUAAAUCUAGUUUGAGUCCUAA